GAUGAACGCUAGCGGCAGGCUUAACACAUGCAAGUCGAGGGGCAGCAUAAUGGAUAGCAAUAUCUAUGGUGGCGACCGGCGCACGGGUGCGUAACGCGUAUGCAACCUACCUUUAACAGGGGGUAAACACUGGGAAUUGGGUCUAAAACCCCAAUAUUAUCUAAAAGGGAUUUUUUAAGGUUUGAAAUUUCGGAGGGUAAGAGAGGGCAUGCGUUGUAUUAGCUAGUUGGGGGGGUAACGGCUCACCAAGGCGACGAUACAUAGGGGGACUGAGAGGUUAACCCCCCACACUGGUACUGAGACACGGACCAGACUCCUACGGGAGGCAGCAGUGAGGAAUAUUGGUCAAUGGACGCAAGUCUGAACCAGCCAUGCCGCGUGCAGGAUGACGGCUCUAUGAGUUGUAAACUGCUUUUGUACGAGGGUAAACGCAGAUACGUGUAUCUGUCUGAAAGUAUCGUACGAAUAAGGAUCGGCUAACUCCGUG
rnacentral:rRNA from 1 species